UCUUCUGAUUUAAUUAAUUGUAGGAAUCAUCGAGAGGUGUUUUAUAUCGAUGAAUAUGAACAUUAACUUUGUUUAGUCUUAUUUGUCCGCAUUGCGACUUUUUUAUCUAAACUACGCAUGCGUAAAAGUCAGUUCUACAAAAUUCUUGACAAUUUAUUCAUUUUACAACGCAACGACAACGGAUGACGACGUGCAUUUUGAUUUAAAAAAAAAUACCUUCAGAAUCGGGUGUUUUGACGAUGCCACUUACAGAUUACACCAAGAUGCCUCAGUUCAAGUUUUUACUAUGAAAUCCGGAUAAUAUUCUUAUGUUUCGGAGUUUCCCGUUAACAGGUUUCGAACUCGGAAGGAUUUUACCCCAGCCACUCCUUAAAACAACGACAGACACUCGCUCAAACGACGCAGGACUAGGUGGACAAAUGGUAAUAAACCACUGAUGAAAUUACGGAUUCUGUUGGAAUUUCGUGAGCGAAAUUUUGUGCUUAAUGCGGAAAAAUGGAUAUUUCAAUAAACAAAAAGCUCAAGGUUGUGUUUAAGAAAACGCAUUCUUCUCAUUAAUUCUUUGUGUCCAUUGGAUUCUAUUUUAUGUUCCGUGAAUCAAGCAUUGGGAAAUGAAUCUAUUAUAUAGCAAUGAACGGUGAAUUCAGGAACUUUAUGAUCGGAGCCACGGAUGCGCGUCUACAGUAAUGAAUCUGAGACAUUCAAUUCACUGGAUUUUUUGUGCCAUUUUCAAUAGGAUUUUUUUGUGAAAUACUAACAUUUAACGCUACUAUUUUCCUACCCUGUUCAUAUUAAAUUGUUAGAUUUUUCAUUGCCUUUAAGUGCUGUUUACUUAUUUGCCUCGCUCUUUGUUCUCAUUUUAACGUUACCUGUACCUGUCCAAUAAGUUGAAACUUAUUGGACACCUACAGGUAACUUAUUGGACGGGGUGCAGGACAAUAACAAAUUUAUUGAACCAGGUUUAACAAAAGAUGACGUCACAGAAAUGUUUUAAGACAGAAUUAUAUUUUG